UACGGGGGGGGCAAGCGUUGUUCGGAAUUACUGGGCGUAAAGGGCUCGUAGGUGGCCAACUAAGUCAGACGUGAAAUCCCUCGGCUUAACCGGGGAACUGCGUCUGAUACUGGAAGGCUUGAGGAUGGGAGAGGGAUGUAGAAUUCCAGGUGUAGCGGUGAAAUGCGUAGAUAUCUGGAGGAACACCGGUGGCGAAGGCGACAUCCUGGACCGGUAUUGACGCUGAGGCGCGAACGCCAGGGGAGCAAACGGG
rnacentral:rRNA from 1 species